GUUGUUACAUCAAUCUGUUCUGGGUACUGCUUCCUCUUUCAUCAGAAACAGAAACCUGGGAUUGAUACAACAGAUACAACAAAAAAUAGAUAGUAAUUCAUUGUCUCAGAUUUAUAAGAAUAUAGCCAUGGAGAGCAUGCAGGGUGAAAUAGAAAAUCAAUCAAAUGAAGUCUCAGACUCCAGUAAUAACUCUGUAUCAUCAGAAUCUCAAAACAUAUCUAGCUUGCACACCAAUCCCAAGACAACACAGCAAGAUCUGUUUUUUCAAAAAUAUUUCUCUUGGCAUCCAGAGUUCAACAUGAGUAAACAAUCAAUGUCAUCAAUAGAGGAUGAAAAAUGAUCAAUAAACCAAGAUGAAGUUGAUAACUGUAAAUAACUUUGACAAUACAUUUUAGUUUUGUUUUACACAAAUAAAUAUUUAUUGACUAA
rnacentral:sRNA from 1 species